AUUGAACGCUGGCGGCAUGCCUUACACAUGCAAGUCGAACGGUAACAGGUCUUCGGAUGCUGACGAGUGGCGAACGGGUGAGUAAUACAUCGGAACGUGCCUAGUAGUGGGGGAUAACUACUCGAAAGAGUGGCUAAUACCGCAUGAGAUCUACGGAUGAAAGCAGGGGAUCGCAAGACCUUGUGCUACUAGAGCGGCCGAUGGCAGAUUAGGUAGUUGGUGGGAUAAAAGCUUACCAAGCCGACGAUCUGUAGCUGGUCUGAGAGGACGAUCAGCCACACUGGGACUGAGCCACGGCCCAGAGUCCUACGGGAGGCAGCAGUGGCGAAUUUUGGACAAUGGGCGAAAGCCUGAUCCAGCAAUGCCGCGUGCAGGAUGAAUGCCUUCGGGUUGUAAACUGCUUUUGUACGGAACGAAAAGCCCCGGGUUAAUACCCUGGGGUCAUGACGGUACCGUAAGAAUAAGCACCGGCUAACUACGUGCCAGCAGCCGCCGUAA
rnacentral:rRNA from 1 species